AACGAACGCUGGCGGCAUGCCUAAUACAUGCAAGUCGAACGAUCACUUCGGUGGUAGUGGCGCACGGGUGCGUAACGCGUGGGAAUCUGCCCUUGGGUUCGGAAUAACGUCGGGAAACUGACGCUAAUACCGGAGGAUGACGUAAGUCCAAAGAUUUAUCGCCCAGGGAUGAGCCCGCGUAGGAUUAGCUAGUUGGUGGGGUAAAGGCCUACCAAGGCGACGAUCCUUAGCUGGUCUGAGAGGAUGAUCAGCCACACUGGGACUGAGACACGGCCCAGACUCCUACGGGAGGCAGCAGUAGGGAAUAUUGGACAGUGGGGGCAACCCUGAUCCAGCAAUGCCGCGUGAGUGAUGAAGGCCUUAGGGUUGUAAAGCUCUUUUACCCGGGAUGAUAAUGACAGUACCGGGAGAAUAAGCCCCGGCUAACUCCGUGCCAGCCGCCGCCGUAAUAC
rnacentral:rRNA from 1 species